CCUACGGGGGGCAGCAGUGGGGAAUAUUGGACAAUGGGCGAAAGCCUGACCCAGCAACGCCGCGUGAAGGAAGAAGGCUUUCGGGGUGUAAACUUCUAUUAUUGGGGACGAAGAAAGUGACGGUACCCAAGGAAUAAGCCACGGCUAACUACGGGCCAGCAGCCGCGGUAAUAAGUAGGGGGCAAGCGUUAGCCGGAUUUAGUGGGUGUAAAGGGCGAGGAGGCGGGUUAGCAGGUCAGAUGUGAAAACCCCGGGCUCAACCUGUGGACUGCAUUUGAAACUGUAGUUCUUGAGUGCUGGAGUGGCAAUCGGAAUUCCGUGUGUAGCGGUGAAAUGCGUAGAUAUUCGGAGGAACACCAGUGGCGAAGGCGGAUUGCUGGACAGUAACUGACGCUGAGGCGCGAAAGCGUGGGGAGCAAACAGGAUUAGAUACCCUUGUAGUC
rnacentral:rRNA from 1 species